rnacentral:rRNA from 1 species
CGCUUGAAAAAAAAAAAACACAUGGAUAACCUACCUAUAAGACUUGGAUAACUUCGGGAAACCGGAGCUAAUACCUGAUAAUAUAUUGAACCGCAUGGUUCAAUAUUUAAAUACGUUUUUGCUGUCACUUAUCGAUGGAUCCGCGCCGCAUUAGCUAGUUGGUAAGGUAACGGCUUACCAAGGCAACUAUGCGUAGCCGACCUGAGAGGGUGAUCGGACACACUGGAACUGAGACACGGUCCAGACUCAUACGGGAGGCAGCAGUAGGGAAUCUUCCGCAAUGGGAGAAAGCAUGAAGGAGAAACGCAGCGUGAGGGAUGAAGGUCUUUUGUUUUUAUAAUGAUGCU